rnacentral:tRNA from 1 species
GGCGGUGUAUCCGAAUUGGUACAGGAGGGGGUCUUAAAAACCCCUGGCCUUCGGGCCGUGUGGGUUCGAAUCCCACCACCGCUACCA